AGACCUAAAAUAUAAGGUGAAGUAUUACAGCAAUUAGUCUUCAUAAGGUUUAUCAAAAGAAUAAUGUUACCUUGAAUCCAAAAUAGAAAAGAAGAAAAAAAGGUUUAUGUUACCUUUUCAGAGAGGAAAAUUAUCAGGGUAGCCCAUUUGUUGGCUGUACAAGCCAUGUGGACUCAAACAUCUGUGCAGAGCAUGUUAAUAACCUAUCCAUUAUGAAGUAUUAUAGUUUUUCUCUCUCCCAAAUUUAUGAACAUCUGGGAUUCUUGUGGAAAACAUGGCCUUCCAGGUGCCAAUCAUUGCCAUGAAGUGACCUACCUCUGCUUCAGUGGCCCACAGGCUUAGCUCAGAUGAUCUGCCUAGAUUUACUUACGUUUCUUCUGUAUAUGACUAUGUAUUUAUGCUUAUAUAACUUAUUUCAGCUUCUGAAGCAUGUA
rnacentral:misc_RNA from 1 species